rnacentral:rRNA from 1 species
CAUGCAGGCGGUUAUGCAAGCAGGAUGUGAAAACCCCGGGCUUAACCUGGGAACUGCAUUCUGAGCUACAUGGCUAGAGUAUUGCAGGGGGAGACGGAAUUCCAGGUGUAGCGGUGGAAUGCGUAGAUAUCUGGAAGAACACCAAAGGCGAAGGCAGUCUCCUGGGCAAAUACUGACGCUCAUAUGCGAAAGCGUGGGUAGCAAACA